GUGCAGUAUGAUGCUUUCUUUCUUUUUUUAUCUAAAGGAAUGCUGUCAAAUAGUCAAUGAAUUUAAAUAGAUUUCACCUGAUAUAACAUUAACUCCCUAUAGCUUAAUUUGACACAUUUAGUCAGCUCAUGGAUACAUUUUUUUAAAUGUAAUUUGUGUUUUUAGGAAAAUGAGAGAUCAAAUCAGAAUGGGAAAAUAAAGGAUGCAACAUCUGACAGCAGCAAGGUUUGAUGCUGACUGAAUGUUUUUUAUUUGUCGCAACAUUCUCGAUAAAUCCUAGACUCUGUUGUGCAUGAAAAGCCCAGGAGGGCAGCAGUUUGAGAUACUGGAUCCGGCAAGCCUGGCACCGACAAUUAUGGCAUGUUCAAAGUCGCUUAGGUCACUUGUUUUGCCAAUUUUAAGGUUCAAUCAAACAGUGGAUGCCUGCUUUAUAUAGCAAGCCAUGGCCAAAUUACUCACGGUUUGUAGGAGCGAUUAUUUUUCGUGAAUGGGAUGGUGUAUCUAAUGAACUGGCCGGUGAGUGUAUAAUGGCAAUAAUUGGCUGGCCACAAACAAACAAAUACCGGCGCAGUACAACAGUGGUGUGCCGAACGACAUCUUGGAACACACAACUCGUCCGUUCUUGUCAUGGAUGGCUAUUGCAGCAGACGAACCCGGUGUGGUCGAAACGGCUCAAUUGGAGGAGUGGAAAAACAUUGCUUGGAAAAUGACAACGAGUUCAAUUUACUUGAGUGGCCUGCGCAGUCCGCAGACCUCAACCCAAUAGAGCAUCUUUGUGAUGAGAUGGAACGGGCUGCUGGCAGAAUGAAUGUAUCGCCGUCCAAUCUGCAGCAACUGCGUUAUGCCAUCGCGUCAGCAUGGACCAACAUCUCUGUGGAACAUUUCCGACACCUUGUAGAAUGCCCCGAAUAAUUCCGGAUGCUCUGUAGGCAAAGGGGGGCCAACCCGGUACUAGAUGGGUGUACCAAUUAAACUAUUCGUACUCUCUCAGUGCUUAGAGAUCCACACUAGAUGAGGACAACAGAAUCUCUCUCUACUCGUUGUCACCUUCAGAAGUUCCUACUGUCACCCUGGAAGCUGACUCGUAAAAUCGCAAAGAUCCCAUUCAAGGUCUUGGAUGCUCCAGAACUACAGGAUGACUUCUACCUCAACCUUGUGGACUGGUCUGCUCUAAAUGUGCUAAGCAGGCUUAGGCACUUGUCUAUCUCUGGAGUGCCUGAACCAGCCAGCUACUGCUUGUCUGACUAACACAUGUGCAUGUGAUUUCAUUAUCCUGUCAUUACACAUUAUGUUAAUUUCUAUACAAGCCGCCCAGAUGUGCAUUGAUUUAUUUUUCCAGGUAACUGGUCUGUGUGAUUUAGCAGUGGAGGGAGAUUCUGUUACAUCAAUAGGCUGGUCAGAGGGCAAUCAUGUGGCAGUCGGGACUCACAAAGGCUACGUACAGAUCUGGGAUGCAGCAGCUGGCAAAAAAGCUUUUUACACUAGAGGGACACUGCUAGAGUUGGUGGGCAUUCAGGGGGAAAACACCCUUCUGUGGAAAUGUCCAUUAUAGAUGUCGCAUAUUGGUUGUUCAUUUCAUUAGUCUUUUCCCUCGCCAUUCCAAUGUCUAAUCUUCCACAGGUGCACUGGCAUGGAACGCAGACCAGUUGCCGUCAGGGAGUAGAGACCUUAUGAUCCUGCAGAUGAUUCGCACAUCACCUCUCCAGUCUGAACGCCGGUUGCAGGGUCACCUGCAGGAGGUGUGUGUGGUCGGAAGUGGAGUACAGAGAGCCAUAGCCGCGGGAAGUAGUGGUGCUGAGGGUGCCGCAGCACCCACUGAUAAAUCGAAAUAAAUACAAUUAUAAACAUUUAAAAAGGAAUAGACUAAUGAUGGAAUGCCUUGAAUUCAUCACAGGACAUUCAUCAACAUAAUGCAAAAUAAUGACCCAACAUGGACACGGCAUCUUGUCAUAGAGGAUGGAGGAGCAAAGAACUGUGUUUACUUUGUCACUCGGAAACAAUUGAAACUGGACCAUUAACAGAUUAUUACAUUUUUUAUUGUCAUCAACAAUGUUUUUAUUAGAUUUUUUUUCUAUUCUUGUCCAGUUCAAUUUACAGUUUUGAUUUUUGUAUUCCAUGUCUAUGAUGAAAAUAUGUGUUAAAGGAGGGUUAAGAUCUAAACUUUGAGUUGAUGAUGUUACAGUCAGGUCUUAUUUAUUUGCCAUUUAAAAAUAAAUGUUUUAUUGUUGUAUAGACUUGGGCAAGAUGCAUAAUAUAAUGGGACAAUCAUGGAAGUCCAGUUUCUUUACUUUUGAAUGAAAAAAUGUAUAGUAAACAUGUGAAAGCACUACAUUGAAUAUAGUAUGGCGGAGAAAACAAAACUAAGUAAAAUGUGGGGAAUUAACAGAAAAUGUAUGCCACUCAAUAAUAAGAAAUAAGAGUAUUGGCAAAACAUGUCUAGUG